CCCUUAGAUGUUCUGGGCCGCACGCGUGCUACACUGAGUGGAUCAGCGGGUCAGGUUGCGCGAAAGCGUUUCCUAAUCUUUACAUCCGCUCGUGAUGGGGAUUGACGGUUGCAAUUUUCUGUCAUGAACGAGGAAUACCUUGUAAGCGCGGGUCAUCAUCCCGCGCUGAAUACGUCCCUGCCCUUUGUACACACCGCCCGUCGCUCCUACCGAUUGAGUGGUCCGGUGAGGCUUUGGGAUCUGAGCGGAAAGAGCGUUUCGCUGUUUCUGCUCGGAAAACUCAGUCGAACCUUAUCAUUUAGAGGAAGGAGAAGUCGUAACA
rnacentral:rRNA from 1 species